AUCCUUUUCCACUUCUGAAAGUCUUCAAACCCAGUCACCCCAAAUGCAACCAUCGUGUGAAACCCCGUUAAUCAGAGAUGAGGUCUUGCUACGUUUUCCAGGCUCGUCUGAAACUCCUGGCCUCAAGUGAUCCUCUCUCCUUGACCUCCCAAAGUGCUGGGAUUACAGAGGCCCGUUUGAGGCAGAGGCUCUGUGACCCGCACACACCUCCCAGAAGAAGAUACUGCAGAAACACUGAAACUGGAAAGAGGGAAAAAGUCACCCCACACAAAGGUUCUGUUUUCUGACCCGGGUGUAGGCUGCAUGGGUGUGUUCAUUAUGUGAGCAUUCAU